rnacentral:rRNA from 1 species
GAGUUUUGAUCCUCGGCUCAGAUUGAACGCUGGCGGCAUGCUUUACACAUGCAAGUCGAACGGCAGCACGGGCUUCGGCCUGGUGGCGAGUGGCGAACGGGUGAGUAAUACAUCGGAACGUGCCCAGAAGUGGGGGAUAACGUAGCGAAAGUUACGCUAAUACCGCAUACGUUCUACGGAAGAAAGUGGGGGAUCGCAAGACCUCAUGCUUUUGGAGCGGCCGAUGUCUGAUUAGCUAGUUGGUGAGGUAAAGGCUCACCAAGGCGACGAUCAGUAGCUGGUCUGAGAGGACGACCAGCCACACUGGAACUGAGACACGGUCCAGACUCCUACGGGAGGCAGCAGUGGGGAAUUUUGGACAAUGGGCGCAAGCCUGAUCCAGCAAUGCCGCGUGAGUGAAGAAGGCCUUCGGGUUGUAAAGCUCUUUUGUCAGGGAAGAAACGGUAGAGGCUAAUAUCCUUUGCUAAUGACGGCACCUGAAGAAUAAGCACCGGCUAACUACGUGCCAGCAGCCGCGGUAAUACGUAGGGUGCAAGCGUUAAUCGGAAUUACUGGGCGUAAAGCGUGCGCAGGCGGUUUUGUAAGUCUGACGUGAAAGCCCCGGGCUCAACCUGGGAAUUGCGUUGGAGACUGCAAGGCUUGAAUCUGGCAGAGGGGGGUAGAAUUCCACGUGUAGCAGUGAAAUGCGUAGAGAUGUGGNAGGAACACCGNAUGGCGAANGCAGCCCCCUGGGUCAAGAUUGACGCUCAUGCACGAAAAGCGUGGGGGAGCAAACAGGNAUUAGAUACCCUGNUAGUCCACGCCCCUAAACGAUGUCUACUNAGUUGUCNGGGUUUUUAAUUAACUUGGUUAACGCA